GAAAUUUAGUUAAUUGCUUGCAUUCACUAAUAUAUAAGCCUUUUAGGUCAGGUGGGGCUCACGUUGAGCCCUGUAUAAAUAUGCCGGCUGAACUAUUUUGGCGUGUCUCGGGCCCUGGCCGAGAGUAGGCUUGUGUUGAAUGAGGCGGGCUAGCGUUGGAGGGAGCUGGACCCGGCCCUAACCCGGCCGUUGACACCGCUAUCCAAAACGCUGUUUUCUUUUUCACUCUCUCCCUUUCCGCUCCUGUAUCUCCCCGCGGACGGCCGCGGCGCAAGGAAAUCUCGCCGGAAAUGUGGAGGUGCUCCGCUGUUGAGGCUUCGUCAUCGACGCCACUGGUUUUGGCUGACGGAAAAGGGACGCUGAUGCCACCGGAUUUAAUGGCGGGAGGCGGAGCAGGGGCCUACUCUGUCGGUUUUAAGAUCCAGGGAUUUCUUCUUCUUCUCCACAGCUCGAUUCCAAAACUAGGCUUUCCAAUGGAAGCGUCGAUUCGUCUCGGGGUGGCGAAUCUAGGGUUUCUUUAUUAGAGCUCGAUUCCGGAGAAGCUGCGGGAACGACGAUAGAUUCGAGAGAGGAGCGGGAGCUAGGGUUUCAGAUUUUUUUAAGGUGGUGCGUAGGCGACGUGCUGUUGCCCAGCGUCGUUGAUGGGAUGCUGGAGCAGAUGCAACUCACAAUGGGUUUGGCAUCACGUCUCUGGCAGUAUUUAUAUGAAGAGAGAUUAGCUAGCAGCAGCUGUUGCAGGCGCCAGAGAAGCUUUAAUACCAUGUGAGAACAGGGUUACCAUGUGGCCAAAAAAAGCGGGUGUGACCCUGUGCAUCCAUCAAGAACAGCCGCUACACUCUACAUGUAGUUCUGCUGAUGAAGCUUGAACGCCUCUAAAGUGUUUGAAGACUGUUGUUUCCUUGACCUAGUUUCAUUGCAAGUCUACCGUCAAUUGCAUAUGACAGGCUGUGUUUGGGUAUUCAAUUGAGGUACGAUGAUCAAGGUGUGGCACCGGUUCAUUCAUUCUGAGGGACUCAGCCCAACAUCGAAAUCAUGAUUGUCCAAGAUCCAACUGGAAAUGUCAGAAAUUGGUGGAUGCAAACAAGUUCAGAGAUAUCUUUUAAGGGCCUGUUUGGUUGUACCCCAGAAUUAGAAUAGAGCCGAAUGUGACGUGGCUCAAGUGAAUUUUGUAGAAGUAUAGCUACUUGGCAUGUCAUGCAAAAUGUCCCCAAUGCGACAUUGCUGCCAUGGUGGGCCAAUCAUCGUUCACAGCACAUUCGAGGCCAAUUCCUCAGCUGAUAAAUAGGCAAACUAUGAUUUUAAUCUGUCUUCGCUCCAUUUUUGGAUUGCCCUUAACAACAAUAGCAGAGAAAAAAAAAAAAUCCUGUUUGUGUAAGCAUAUGAUAAGGGCUCAUUUGGGCAUACACUCCAGUCGGGAUUCGAAUGAUUUCAUUGGUUCAGCUUUCAAUUGGAUCUCUCUUUGAUUUUUCAAUGCUUAAAAGUAACUACAAUCCUCAUAAAACUUCAGUAGUCCUUGUUUGAGGAUUGUUUAUGGAAUAACAAUUUCACAAGACAUGGAACACAU